rnacentral:rRNA from 1 species
CCUACGGGAGGCAGCAGUAGGGAAUCUUCCACAAUGGGCGAAAGCCUGAUGGAGCAACGCCGCGUGGGUGAAGAAGGUCUUCUGAUCGUAAAACCCUGUUUUUAGAGAAGAAAGUGCGUGAGAGUAACUGUUCACGUUUCGACGGUAUCUAACCAGAAAGCCACGGCUAACUACGUGCCAGCAGCCGCGGUAAUACGUAGGUGGCAAGCUUUAUCCGGAUUUAUUGGGCGUAAAGGGAACGCAGGGGGUCUUUUCAGGCCGAUGGUAACGCCUUCGGCUUAAACGGAGUAGUGCAUUGGAAACUGGGAGACGUGAGUGCAGAAGAGGAGUGUGGAACUCCAUGUGUAGCGGUGAAAUGCGUAGAUAUAAGGAAGAACACCAGUGGCGAAAGCAGCUCUCUGGUCUGUAACUGACGCUGAGGUUCGAAAGCGUGGGUAGCAAACAGGAUUAGAUACCCUGGUAGUC